rnacentral:lncRNA from 1 species
UACGGAAUAUAUAAAUUCCAAUCGCAGGAGAAUGCUUCGAUAAGCAGCUUUAACUUGUGUCUGUAUGUGAGUGAGAUACAAGGAGGAAAAGAGAUACAGCAGUGAGGUUUUAGAAGAGGACGAAGGAGAAGAGAAAUGGGUGAGAGGCGGCCAAAUUUCGCCCUGGAGAGAGAGAAAGAGAGAGGUUAAGUAAUUACUUCAUAAAAAAAAAAAA